rnacentral:snRNA from 1 species
AUACUUAACUGGUGCCGGGGCGUCGUUGAUCACCAAGGACGAGCCCCCAGGUCAAGGCGCAGGCAUUGCAGUGCACUCGCGUUGACCUCUUCCCCUACCGUGAACUCGGGCGCAUGGGGC